rnacentral:rRNA from 1 species
UGGGGGAUAUUGCACAAUGGAGGAAACUCUGAUGCAGCAACGCCGCGUGAGGGAAGACGGUUUCCGGAUUGUAAACCUCUGUCCUUAGGGAAGAUAAUGACGGUACCUAAGGAGGAAGCUCCGGCUAACUACGUGCCAGCAGCCGCGGUAAUACGUAGGGAGCAAGCGUUGUCCGGAUUUAUUGGGUUUAAAGGGUGCGUAGGCGGAUCGAUCAGUCAGUGGUGAAGUCUCCCGGCUCAACCGGGACACUGCCAUUGAAACUGUCGAUCUAGAGUGUACAAGAGGUAAGCGGAAUGCGUGGUGUAGCGGUGAAAUGCAUAGAUAUCACGCAGAACCCCGAUUGCGAAGGCAGCUUACCGGUGUACAACUGACGCUGAGGCACGAAAGCGUGGGUAUCAAACA